AGUUUCUGCUGUUCCGGACGGCUUGGGGGGCUCUCUGUAUCGUUAGAGGGCCCCCAGCAGCCCCCAGGUGUAAGAAGUUGCAUGAGUUGUGAGUCUGUCGUUGCAUCUUGAUUCCCAGGCCAGGGAUUGAACCUGCGCCCCCUACAGUGGAAGCAUGGAGUCUUAACCACUGGCCCACCAGGGAAGUCCCAGUUAAACAUUUUUUAGUUAUAGAAGGUCUCAUGAAAUGUUCAACCCCCUCAAAGGCCUGAACUUCUUGAGAGCUGAAACUGAACACCUUCUCAACUGAACUUAAAGGAGAAAUUAAGUGCAAUAUUUGGAACUACAUUUAAAUGAAGAUGAGGUAGAAGACAG